rnacentral:rRNA from 1 species
GAUCAUGGCUCAGGACGAACGCUGGCGGCGUGCUUAACACAUGCAAGUCGAGCGAUGAAGCUCCUUCGGGAGUGGAUUAGCGGCGGACGGGUGAGUAACACGUGGGUAACCUGCCUCAUAGAGGGGAAUAGCCUUUCGAAAGGAAGAUUAAUACCGCAUAUGGUAGCUUUAUCGCAUGGUAGUGCUAUUAAAGGAGUAAUCCGCUAUGAGAUGGACCCGCGUCGCAUUAGCUAGUUGGUGAGGUAACGGCUCACCAAGGCGACGAUGCGUAGCCGACCUGAGAGGGUGAUCGGCCACAUUGGGACUGAGACACGGCCCAGACUCCUACGGGAGGCAGCAGUGGGGAAUAUUGCACAAUGGGGGAAACCCUGAUGCAGCAACGCCGCGUGAGUGAUGACGGCCUUCGGGUUGUAAAACUCUGUCUUUGGGGACGAUAAUGACGGUACCCAAGGAGGAAGCCACGGCUAACUACGUGCCAGCAGCCGC